GCCCCUAUGGCCCAAUGGAUAAGGCGUCGGACUUCUAAUCCGAAGAUUCCGGGUUCGACCCCCGGUAGGGGUG
rfam:Conidiobolus coronatus NRRL 28638 unplaced genomic scaffold CONCOscaffold_73, whole genome shotgun sequence.